CUUCUUUUCGAUCGUCAGGCUCUCUCGCUGCUGCUCGUCCCAACCGCAUGCCGUUAGUGUGCUCACUGAAAACUUGACCUUGAAAUUCCAGGCAGACUGCCAGUAUUCUGGGAUAUUUGUAAACUUUGAGCACUGCUAUCUUGCUUCUGUAAAGAGAAAAAAAAAAUGAUUCCAUUUUCUCUCAGACUUGUUUCUUGAUAAAACUAAAUACCCUCAUAAUCAAACGAGACAGACUCUGAGCCAAGCUGGAGACUGAGAGCAUUGGAAUUGACCAACCUGAUCAACCACAGGAGGCAACAGAAUCGAUGUCAGUUGCCCCUGUAAGAGGACAGAAAAUGAAAUGAAUCUCGACUCAGUUAGAACAGAAGAAAGAGGAGGAGGGGAAAAUAGAGGAAGCAGACACUGCAAGAGAAGAGGAGGAAAGAGGUCCAGAGGAGCAGCUCUGAGAUCAAGGGGAAGUGCCCCUGAGUCCAGGGGAGGGGCCCUCAAUAAGAUCAUGGUCACCAACACCCAGAAGGACAACAAGAAGUCCUGAAAGAGCAGGAGGUGAGCAAGACAUCGUUACCAUUACUGAUCAAUCUCUGAAAAUGGGUGAGGUCUGAGAAAAGACUUCACACCACCCAAAUGAGCCUAUUGUCACCUGGUUACUUCGAUGUUGGGACAAUGGGGCCAACAGUGUGUGGCUAGACAGUAGAGAAGCUCACCAACUGGAUGGCAUUGCUAGGGACUCAGCCAUUGACAGAGGUAUUAGUACAUGCCAGAAUGGGUCCUUCAUCCUCUGGAAGCAGAUGCUACUAGCUGUAAAAGAAAGAUACCCCUUCAAAGAUGAUCUGAUAUCUGAGAAAAAUAAAUGUACUGAUGUGGAAAAAGGCAUCUGUUAUUUGAGAGAAUAUGCUGUGGUGGAAAUGUUACAUAACCCCACAUUUGUUCCUGACGAUCCAGACCAAGAGCAUGAUCCUGAGAGAGCCAGAUGUACACCAAAUAUGUGACGUAUAUUCAGAAAGACUGCACCAGAAAGGUAUGCCAGUGCAUUUGCAGCAAUGUAUGGCAGAGGAGAAAGAAGACCCUUUAUAAACGAACUGAUUAGUAAACUUCAAGACUUUGAAUUACAUUUAACCCCUCUAUGAGCUUGUGUUUCAGCCACUGCAAAAGUAUCUGAAAAACUGGUCAGAAUGGAGAGCAAUCAAGAAGAUAUAAUAGACAAACUGUCUACCGUGCUUAAUGCUGAUGGAUUCAUGGUGGUAUCAGAUACAUCCGAUGAGGAUCAGGAUUCCCAAAACAGCCUACUGAAGGGACUGAUCAAAUUGGUUUCCUCGCAACCUACAUCAUCCAGUGUCUCAGCUAUCAAAAGAAGAUGUCCUCCUGCUUGUGCAAGUGACAACAGUAAGACUACAUCACAUAUUGCCUUGUGGUGUUACCUAUGUGACCAUGGAGAAGAUACGAAGAAGUGGGAUAAAAAACUCACUCCUGCACUUCAAGCACAGGUAAAAGAAUGACAAGACAGACCGACCACCAAGGUGAACUUCUCCAAAAAGGUGAUCGCUCCCGUUGCUGCAGGACAUGGCAAUAGCCAUAAGAACAACAGAGGUCAUGUCUUGGCCAUACCAGAAGAAUUUGGUUUGGAGGCAGCCUUGGAGAAGUACACAGAUGUUUGAUUUUAUCUGAAAGCUACUUUUCAAGAUAUGGAAGUCUGGAGAAUUUUACAAGAGCAUGUGAACUUUUAGCCUGUGUUUGCAAUAACAAGAUCUUUACUGGAAUAAAAAGACAUAUCUGUUGUAUACUAGCACUAGAGCUGUAAAGGCAAAGAUUUGCUCUUUAUGCAUAUACCAAAGACACUGUGGCCUCCCAUUCACCAGCCCACAGGCGAAAAAUCCUAUUCUGCAGAAAAAAAAAAAAGUUGUUCUUCCUCUUAGAUAUUUUUUCAAUAUAACUGUGUUGGGUAAGGCUUAGACCUUUGUAUUCUCCCUGAACAAAUUCCUUGUAGUGAUAACCUAUAUGAACACUGCAUUUUUACAUCUAAUGUUUGCACCUGGAGGUCAUUUGCUAGGGUCAUAUCACCUUGGGAUGUGCUUUCUCCUGCUUUCCUAGCAAAUAAAGGACUUGAUCUUUGUC